AUGGAAGCUCGAAUGGAAAUGGGAAGCCUUUAUCUCUGGCCUAGUACUUUUCUGCGAUUUGAACCUGACUGGAAACACCGUGGAUAUUGGGACACACAACGGAAGGUAAUCGAACAAAAAAAGACUUUCGAACCGACUGACAGUCGGAUCACGGUGUAUUACUACACUGACUAUCUAGAUGGAACUGGGUCCAGAGUCACCGUCACAGUCGAUCCAUUAUCCCUGGAGUCCAAGAGUCCGCCUCUACAAUCUUUCUAUUCUGAAGACGCCGUUACAUUAAGCUGCAAGUACUUCGGAUCGUGUGCAUAUACGGUACACUGGUUUCGGCAGUUCCAAGGUGAGCCUCCUAAACUUCUGCUUCAGAGCCACACUUCUGGAGAACAGGAUCCUGUAUAUGCUAACGAAAGACACUUCUUCGGUUAUCUCGACCGUGACAAGAAAAUCAGCAAGUUUGUGAUCUCCAAACUGCAAGAGAGCGACUCGGCUUUGUACCAAUGUGCCAUAAGUCGGCUAGGAGCACAGUGA